AGAAAGGCUGCGUGUGCGCCGCUCCGGAGCCGGACUCCUGGAAGAAGAAAGGGAGGCAGAGAGAUCAAGGCUGCAGGUGGGCGCCGGUGGACAAAAGUCGCAGUUCUCCCUCUGCCCCUACCCCAAUUUCUUUUUUCCUUUACUCUCCGAUUCACCGGCUGUGGCCACUCAGCUCCUGGAAUCUCAAGUUUUGUAACUCUCAGGAGCCGUUCCAUAACCAGGCAAAAUAUUGCAGAGCUGCAGGGGCCCUGGGUUGAAAGGCUGUAACAUUAACAGGUUCGUUAUGUGCUAGCCAGGCGCUGUUCCCAGCGCUUUCUGUGGAUUAACUCAUUUACUCCUCCUCCCAGCAAUCCUAGGAGGUAAGAACUAUGAUUAUCCUCAGAUGACAGGCGAGGAGAACUUAGCUGUGAAAGGUAAACGGUUGCCCAAGGUUACAUGGCUGGUACCUGGUAGAGCUGUAUUUGUACCCCGGAGAUCUGACUCCGGCUCCCGGGGGUUUUAUCGGCACCUUAUACCACAGCUUGCCCCUCAGUGUGGGGCUCAGCACGACUCAGUGAGCAUGGGAAUUACCUUUUCUCGGGUCUGGAAGUCCGUGGAGCGCCGCUGCACUCGGGGAGGACAAAUCCUGCCCAGAACUGGAAGUGAAAGCAACCCUGAGAGAGAUUACAAGUUCUACGGUUUUAUCUUAGAAAGUCGAAGCAGUUUGCUCAAGGUCACAAGAGCAUAAAAGAAACAUACCUGAUGAUUAAAUCAAAUCAAGCAGAAGUUUUCUGUAUGUGAUUCAAGAAUGCUGUUCAUCCUUUCAGCACUGCAAGUGCAUUACCUGUUGUGAAAGGAGGAAGUGUGCUCCGUUAAGCUUGAAAGCAAAGUUACCAGAAAAGGAUCAGCAAAUCACAAGGCAGAAUCCUUAGCAGUAAGGCCCCUACUGAACUGUGACUGAGGCACAAGCCAAGGAAUAUGUUUAAUGUGUGCUGCCCCAUUAGCUCCUGGAAUCUUAGUAUACAACCCACACCACUGAAUCAGACCCACAGGAGGGAAACAACAGGAGCAUCAUGGCUCUGCUAUGCAGACAUAGCACUAUUGUUUCCAGAAAUUAGUUUUUAGUUUAUUAAAGUAAUAUUGGAGAAGACUCUUGAGAGUCCUUUGGACUGCAAGGAAAUCCAACCAGUCCAUCCUGAAGGAGAUCAGUCCUGGGUGUUCAUUGGAAGGACUGAUGUUGAGGCUGAAACUCCAAUACUUUGGCCACCUGAUGCGAAGAGCUGAUUCACUGGAAAAGACCCUGAUGCUGGGAAAGAUUGAGGGCAGGAGGAGAAGGGGACCACAGAGGAUGAGAUGGUUGGAUGGCAUCAUCGACUCGAUGGACAUGGGUUUGGGUGGACUCUGGGAGAUGGUGAUGGACAGGGAGGCCUGGCGUGCUGUGGUUCAUGGGGUCGCAAAGAGUCGGACAAGACUGAGCGACUGAACUGUGAACUGAACUGAAUAUAUUGCACACCAAGUUCAAAAGUCAAAUGUUAUUAAAGUGAUUAUAGUAACUAACA